AAUGGAUGUCUCAGCUGCUAAAGCCUUUUAACUCCCAAGUCUGACCACCUGAGUCCCAUUGAUGGAACCCACAUGAUAGAAGGAGACAACCAGAGAAACUGCACCCUCAAGACUUCACGGAGCCCACACAUGCUCACAAUGGAGAUGGUUGCUUGUGGCGUGGGUGCCACAAUUGGAGGUCCCACUGAGAUCCACAGAGACUUGGCAAGACUGGGAAAGUUUGGCCAGAAAGAAGACUCAGGAGAGAAGAGACUUGAGAAAGAAAAGAAUUAAAAACAGACUAGCAUGGUUUGAUGAAGCAAGACCUCCAGAAGCAGUGGCC